rnacentral:tRNA from 1 species
UCCGCGAUAGCUCAAUGGUAGAGCGUCUCGCUGUUAACGAGAGGGUUCCAGGUUCGAGUCCUGGUCGCGGAG